AUGAUGACGGCAAUGGUGAAGGCCGAGCCGACGGCGGCGGAGGGGAGCAGCGGGCGGAGGGACGCGGAGGCGGAGCUCAACCUGCCGCCGGGCUUCCGCUUCCACCCCACGGACGACGAGCUCGUCGUGCACUACCUCUGCAGGAAGGUGGCGGGCCAGCCGCAGCCCGUGCCCAUCAUCGCCGAGGUCGAUCUCUACAAGUUCAACCCCUGGGAUCUGCCCGAGAGGGCGCUGUUCGGGAGCAGGGAGUGGUACUUCUUCACGCCACGCGACCGCAAGUACCCCAACGGCUCGCGCCCCAACCGCUCCGCCGGCACCGGCUACUGGAAGGCCACCGGCGCCGACAAGCCCGUGGCGCCCAAGGAGAGCGGCGGCAGGACGGUCGGCAUCAAGAAGGCGCUCGUCUUCUACUCCGGCAGGGCGCCCAGGGGCGUCAAGACCGACUGGAUCAUGCACGAGUACCGCAUCGCCGAAGCCGACCGCGCACCCGGCAAGAAGGGAUCCCUCAAGCUGGACGAAUGGGUGCUGUGCCGGCUGUACAACAAGAAGAACAACUGGGAGAAGGUCAAGGUGGAGCAGGACAUGGCUGUGGAGGCCGGGCCAAACGGGGAGGUCAUGGACGCGCUGGCGACCGACGCCAUAUCCGACAGCUUCCAGACGCACGACUCCUCGGAGAUCGACAGCGCCUCCGGCCUGCAGCAGCGCGUCUUCACGGACAUGGCGCAGGGGCAGCCGAGAGGCGGCAUGGUGACGGUGAAGGAGGACAGCGACUGGUUCACCGGCCUGAGCAUGGACGACCUGCAGACUUGCUAUAUGAACAUGGGGCAGAUGGUGAACCCGGCGACGAUGCCUGGGCAGGACGGCAGCGGCUACCUACAGUCGAUGAGCUCACCGCAGAUGAUGAGGCCGAUGUGGCAAACAAUCUUGCCACCAUUCUGA
rnacentral:rRNA from 1 species